rnacentral:lncRNA from 1 species
GGCUUCUCAAAUUCCUCCUCCAAAUUUUUACUGCCAGUGCUGAAAACAGAUCAGCUCCAAGGGCAGCAGCUCCAGCCCAGUACCGCGAACCAAAGAGAGCACUGCCAUGGGUGGGUGGUGGCAGCUCUGUCCCCAGCCCAGCUCUGUCCCCAGCUCAGCUCUGUCCCCAGCUCAGCUCUGUCCCCAGCUCUGUCCCCAGCUCAGCUCUGUCCUCAGUUCUGUCCCCAGCCCAGCUCUGUCCCCAGCCCAGCUCUGUCCCCAGCUCAGCUCUGUCCCCAGCCCAGUUCUGUCCCCAGCUCAGCUCUGUCCCCAGCUCAGCUCUAUUCCCAGCUCUGUCCCCAGCUCUGUCCCCAGUUCUGUCCCCAGCCCUGUCCCCAGCCCUGUCCCCAGCUCUGUGCAGCUGGUUUUUGUCAGACACGAGCCCUGGCACUUCUCCUCCCUGCUGGCCCCUGGCUGGCUGCUCAGCACGCCGAGAAGCUGUUGGGGAAAUACAAGGGAACUGCACUGCUGGAAAAGGGACUGGACUGCUGGAAAGGAAACUGGACUGAUGGAAAAGGAACUGGACUGAUGGAAAGGGAACUGGACUGAUGGAAAAGGAACUGGACUGCUGGAAAGGGAACUGCACUGCUGGAAAAGGGACUGGACUGCUGGAAAGGAAACUGGACUGCUGAAAGGGAGGUGUCUUUGAGGGGCUGGGGCAGGGUGACACCAGCCUGCAACUGGCCUAACAUCAACCUCUUCAUGGCCACUUCUUCUCAAGCUCAUCUUUUAUUGAUAGCUGGAGAGGAGAGGACAUAUAAAAGCAAAACAUUCUUGCAGGCUGGGAUGUGAUCCAAGGCACAAUUCAACCCUUUGUAAGUGACCAUCUCAGUGAAUGCUUCAGGUUAUGCUGGAUCAAAGUUCCACUCUUUGUUUUGCAGUGUUUGAGUUUAAAUUGUUUUUCUGUUUGCAAUCAUUAAACCUUACUUUACUGAUAAUGAAGUUGUCUGAGAUUUUAUUGAAUCUGGAAUUCAGA